UGAAAGACGAUGCUCGAAUGUGGUGCAAUAAAAUGAAUUACAACAAACUGACGGAUAUACCAGGCUCGUUGAUGACGUUAUUAAUUUUAACAAAGCCAACGACGCGAGCGACCAUCGUUGUCGUUUCUUCUUCCCUCACGUGAUCGUCAGCGGGAAUUUUUCACCAUCCACUCGAUUACGAGCCCAUAAGACGGAGAGGAAUUUCGAGGGCGUGAGACGUAAUACCGUGUCUCCAAUGAUCGUCAGCGUGGCGUCUCGCGCGAGACACGCGUACCCAUAGGCUGUACAUCUUUGUCUCAACUUAGAGAAGGACGGAGAUGGGUAGAAAGAGCGAAACACACGAGAGAUGGUCAGUGGAAAGCCGGCUAAAAGCCGAGCCAAGAGAUCUGAGAUUUCGGCUUCUAUUCUGGUCAGAGAUGCGAUCCGAUUGCGCUCGCUGUCGCGUUAGAAACGCGAGACAAUAUUAUUAGACGCGUUAGAAAAACAAGGAAUAAGAAGAAUCCCUACAUAACCGACAUGGCGUCUGAUCGUGUUUAUAGAGCUCGGUUUGACACUGAAAUCGAAAAUUCAAUUGUAUCGAAAGGUACUAACCGCUAUUCGAAGAUUAUUUGGCGCUAUGAAUCGCAUUAGAAAAAUGUGACUUCCAUCUGAAGCUUUCGUGAGAUUACCAACGAAUCAAGAGGCCACGUAAUUAUCUCUGGAGGAGGGAUCCGUUAAACGGAGAAGACUUGGGAUUACUGUGAGCGCAGUCGAAAAGGCAGGAAGGCAAGCUUUUCUCCGCAAACGAAGCUACGCAGAUGCAGAGAGAGUAAAUUGAAAAUCGGUUGGUCAGUUUGUCGGCUAGCGGAGAGGAUUUUCCCAAGUACACCAAGGGAAGCCUGUUGCUGCUCUCACAGUUUCUCCACUCUCUAGAUCCAGUCCGCUCGGCAGGUGAGCACGUCGAGGAAGCGCCGAGAGAAGAAGGGACUUCGCCGGCAGCUGAUUCCAUAAGCAGAUAGGAAAGAAUUUCUUCGGCCUAAAAUAAUGGGGAUGCAGCCUACCGUGUACACACCGCCUCUGUUUACAAACUUUGGCGCACCUCUCUCUUCCUCCACGGUCGAGCUGGACGCAUCCACCUUUCUUCUACCUGCCUCUCCCCUACGUCUGGCAAAUCCACGGAUCGCGCAAUUUUAUGGGAAAAAGAUAUUCCUUCGUGGGUCGUCUACUAUGGUCAUUUCCACGACGUCUGUUUCUUCUCGAGGGUGCAGAAACAAUCAACAGGACUCGUCGAGGAACUUUCUGUUUCAACCCUUUGCGAUCCGAGUUGCAUUUAACACUUUAACUCGAUUGGUUCAUAGUCAAAAAUAUACUUGGAACACAAAGAGCUAGCACGUAUAAAAAUCAGGGAGGAUUAAACGACACAAAGUAUAGAGUCCAACUCGACGAUCGUAUGAAACAAUA